rnacentral:rRNA from 1 species
AGUGAAUAGAUACCCAGGUAGUCCACGCCCUAAACGAUGGAUACUCGACAUACGCGAUAUACAGUGUGUGUCUGAGCGAAAGCAUUAAGUAUCCCACCUGGGAAGUACGAUCGCAAGAUUGAAACUCAAAGGAAUUGGCGGGGUCCGGCACAAGCGGUGGAGCAUGUGGUUUAAUUACGAUGAUACGCGAGGAACCGUUACCUGGGCGUAGAAUGUCAGUGGACCGUGGGUGAAAGCUCACUUUGUAGCAAUACACCGCUGAUAAGGUGCUGCAUGGCUGUCGUCAGCUCGUGCCGUGAGGUGUU